AUUGAACGCUGGCGGCAUGCCUAAUACAUGCAAGUCGAGCGGAUAAACGGAGCUUUCUCCCGUCUUCCGCGACCGACGGGCGAGUAAUGCCCACGUAUCUGCCCGGUAGUGAGGACUAACGUCCCGUCACGGGCCCUAAUCCCGCAUACGUCAUGAGAGAGAACCUCAUGGAUCUUCAGAGCUCAACCUAUCUGCUGUCCCUACGACGUAUUAGCUAGUUGGUUGGGUAAAGUCUUACCAAGGCGACGAUCCGUAACAGCUCUGAGAGGGUGAUCAGUCACACUGGAACUGAGACACGGUCCAGACUCCUACGGGAGGCAGCAGUAGGGAAUAUUGCACAAUGGGCGAAAGCCUGAUGCAGCAAUGCCGCGUGUGUGAAGAAGGUCUUCGGAUUGUAAAGCUCUGUUAGUUGGGAGGAAGGAAAGUGAGAGUAAACCUUGCUGUCUUGACGGUACCAAAUGAGAAAGCAACGGCUAACUACGUG
rnacentral:rRNA from 1 species